AUGCUCAAAAUUCUCCAAGCCAGGCUUCAGCAAUACGUGAACCGUGAAAUUCCUGAUGUUCAAGCUGGUUUUAGAAAAGGCAGAGGAACCAGAGAUCAAAUUGCCAACAUCCGCUGGAUCAUGGAAAAAGCAAGAGAGUUCCAGAAAAACAUCUAUUUCUGCUUUAUUGACUAUGCCAAAGCCUUUGACUGUGUGGAUCACAAUAAACUGUGGAAAAUUAUGAAAGUGAUGGGAAUACCAGACCACCUGACUUGCCUCUUGAGAAACCUAUAUGCAGGUCAGGAAGCAACAGUUAGAACUGGACGUGGAACAACAGACUGGUUCCAAAUAGGAAAAGGAGUAUGUCAAGGCUGUAUAUCGUCACCCUGCUUAUUUAACUUCUAUGCAGAGUACAUCAUGAGAAAUGCUGUGCUGGAAGAAGCACAAGCUGGAAUCAAGAUUGCCGGGAGAAAUAUCAAUAACCUCAGAUAUGCAGAUGACACCACCCUUAUGGCAGAAAGUGAAGAGGAACUCAAAAGCCUCUUGAUGAAAGUGAAAGAGGAAAGUGAAAAAGUUGGCUUAAAUCUCAACAUUCAGAAAACGAAGAUCAUGGCAUCUGUUCACAUCACUUCAUGGGAAAUAGAUGGGGAAACAGUGGAAACAGUGUCAGACUAUAUUUUUGAGGGCUCAAAAAUCACUGCAGGUGGUGAUUGCAGCCAUGAAAUUAAAAGAUGCUUACUCCUUGGAAGGAAAGUUAUGACCAACCUAGAUAGCAUACUAAAAAGAAGAGAUAUUACUUUGCCAACAAAGGUCUGUCUAGUCAAGGCUAUGGUUUUUCCAGUGGUCAUGUAUGGAUGUGAGAGUUGGACUGUGAAGAAAGCUGAGCGCCAAAGAACUGUUGCUUUUAAACUGUGGUGUUGGAGAAGACUCUUGAGAGUCCCUUGGACUGCAAGGAGAUCCAACCAGUCCAUCCUAAAGGAGACCAGUCCUGGGUGUUCAUUGGAAGGACUGAUGCUGAAGCUGAAACUCCAAUACUUUGUCCACCUCAUGCAGAGUUAA
rnacentral:lncRNA from 1 species